AUGAAAUUAAAAAGGAGCAGUGGGUGGGGGGAGAUCAGUGGGGAGAAUUGUCGAGCAAUUCAUGUGCAUUUCUGCAAGAACACAGUGCUGAGCGUUAAUUGGUGUUUGAGAUAAUUUCGUGGGAAGGUGAGGGUUGUUUCUCGUAUGACAAAGUCAAUCAACGUCAGAUGAAUCUGCCAUUUUGACUCCAAGCUUUGAAUUCCUAACAUCUUUGUUACGAUACACCCAAAUUUCCAGGAAAAAAAGGCAGGCAGAAAAGGAGAGGAUCACAGACCAAAUUUAAAGAAGACAUAACCAAAAAAUGAUGUAAAAUGGGUUGUAAGUAUCUUACAUUGUCGUCAUCUUCUUCAUGAUUGUUACUAGCAGC